GGCGAGCGCUCGCCGUGUCUCGCUGCGGUCGAGACAUAUCCCGUCCCCUUCUGGCCGCCUUUUCUUGCAGAGCGGCGGCAGGGUGCGCCUCCGCCUCUCCGGCGGCGCAACGGGUAGCUCAGCCGUUUGGAGGUCACCUCUUCCUAAUUGGACAGAUAAACCCAAGAAGACGAAGAAUAAUGACGGAGGGCGUAAAAAAAGUUGUACUGUUGGCGGAAGAAAUCUUCAGGGCGGUGCUGGGAUGGAGAGCCGUUCACAGGACUGCGGCGACGUGAUCUUCUGAAGUUUCUUCACACUGGUGAAAGCCUUUGGGAGAUUUAUUCUGUCAUCGAUCUAUACAUGUAGCUCCUGUCUUAUUUCUUCAGUCUGAACUGUUGGGGGUUAUGCUACUAGUUAUCGUUUGUUCUGAACUUGAUGUUCUGGUUGUUUUUGCUUGAGUCGUCCUGGAGAACCCGGCUUGUGAGAUUUCUCAGGGCUGUGCUGGGUGGUUGCGUUUUGCGUUUGUGAAACCUAGUCAGUUUCUUAGAUUGGGUAAAAAUCUGCACUUCAAAGGAGGGAGGCUGUGGGAUUGGCUCUUUUUCAUCUUCAAGGAGUGUGCAUCGUAGGAUUUGCUGCUGUGAUGUAAGUUGGCAAUAGCCUGGUGUCAGUUGUAAGACUUGGUGAUUUCUAAUAAUUGAAAUCAUAGAGGAAA